AUCAAAAACAUGGUUUUUAGAAUUAAUUAAAGAUUAGAUCUGACUCAAUGACUUAGAACGUUAAAUAGCUGCGGUAUCUUGACUGUACAAAGGUAGCGUAAUCAUUAGUUUGUUAAUUGCGAGCUGGUAUGAAAGAUUCAAUAAGAUACAAACUUUUUUAAGAAAAUUACAUUGAACUUAAUUUUUAAGUGAAAAAGCUUAAAUUAAAUUAUGGGACGAGAAGACCCUAUAGAUUUUUAUAUUUGGAUUAAAUUUUCUAAGUUUAGUUUAUACUAGGAUUUAGUUUAAAUAUUUGGGUGGGGAAUCAAUAAAAUUAAAUAAUUUUUAUAAUUAUUGAUAUUACUAGAUAUAACAUAGGUGAUCAGUGUUUCUGUUGAAGAUAAAAAUACCUUAGGGAUAACAGCGUGAUAUUAAUUGAGAGAUCUUUAAUUUUAAUUAUGCCUUGUGACCUCGCAUGUUG
rnacentral:rRNA from 1 species